rnacentral:rRNA from 1 species
UUGAACGCUGGCGGAAUGCUUUACACAUGCAAGUCGAGCGGCAGCGCGGGGCAACCUGGCGGCGAGCGGCGAACGGGUGAGUAACAUAUCGGAACGUACCCUAUCGUGGGGGAUAACACAUCGAAAGAUGUGCUAAUACCGCAUACGACCUGAGGGUGAAAGCGGGGGAUCGCAAGACCUCGCGCGACAGGAGCGGCCGAUAUCGGAUUAGCUAGUUGGUGGGGUAAAGGCUCACCAUGGCGACGAUCAGUAGCUGGUCUGAGAGGAUGAUCAGCCACACUGGAACUGAGACACGGUCCAGACUCCUACGGGAGGCAGCAGUGGGGAAUUUUGGACAAUGGGGGAAACCCUGAUCCAGCCAUUCCGCGUGAGUGAAGACGGCCUUCGGGUUGUAAAGCUCUUUCGGCAGGAACGAAACGGCGGAAUCUAAUACAUUCCACUAAUGACGGUACCUGAAGAAGAAGCACCGGCUAACUACGU